GCUGCUAAGAUAACUUCUUUUGUAUCUAUGCGACUUUAUUAUAUUUCUCAGAUUUCAGUACUCUUGCAGGAGGAAUCGAUAUGCUUUAUGUCUUGAGAAUUUUUUGCUCCUUUCAUCACGCUUCUGGUACAGAAAUGAUAAAAGCCAAGAUUGAGAUUGAUACUGACAGGUUCCUAGUGAGUAUUUGACAUUGAGGAACAAGUUUUUGGAAACAAAUAGAGAAUAUAGUCUUUGACCGAGAAGUUUUAUGUUUUGUAAUCAAAUGUUGAUGUACAUUGUUUGAAUGUUAGUUCGGUACGAUAUUUUCUGAGUUGAAAUGUUGGUAGUGUGGAUUUAAUA